AAUGAUGGGAACUGUUAGGUCAUGGCUUGAACUGGUGAUUGAGCACCUGGUGAAGGGCUGUGGCUGGCCCACGGAGCACAGGCAAAUUGUUUGCACCUAUGCUCCCCAGGGGACCAGAAGGGGUGGGCCCAGGGUGGAGCCACACUGGCCUCAUAUAAGGGCCAGCCAGUAAAGGGAGAGCAUCUCUUGGAUUUAGGCUGCUCUUUCUGAGUGAGUUCUGCAUGGGCAGAGAGCUCCUUCACUGGUUCAGGGAGUUCAGCUAUUCUUUAUGUAAAUGACUAUUGGCCUAUCUGUGAAUAUUUUACCUGGUAUUGUUAAGAACCUGUUGGAAGGAAUUUUUGCUUCAUUGUGAGCUGAUAUGCUCAGGGAGAGGGGAAAAUUGUCAUCUUGUUCAUUCCUAGUCAUUCAAGAAUCUAUAUAUUCUUCUGGUUAUAUAUAGAGUAAGUUGUAUUUGAGGUCUUCAGAGAGUAAAAGGCAAUAGCUGUUUUCUAUUCCUUGCACGCAGAGUGCUUUCACUUUCAUAUUUUUUCUACAUACCAGUUCAGAAUGUUUUGACCAAUUUGAAGUCCUUUUUUAUGACGUGUAAUCAAGAGAAUUGGAAAUGAAGAGGCCUUUCCUUUGUCAUCUGCUCAUAUAAGGAGUGCGAGUUAUUGUGUUAAGCUGGAAUAGCAGUGGAACUGUUCAAGGACCUUAAAUGACUACCAAAAUAAUUAUUGUCAGUCAGGGUACCAGUUGCUUUAGUGAGCGAUGCAGCAGCAACUGGAUUAAGAUCGCAGGGAAAUGCUCGCUGCUACUGCAAGGCAAAGAAAUGAUGUGUGGGUGCCAGAGAGCAUAGGAUCCAUGGCAGGAUUGUGGAGGACUGACUGAGAAAGCUGGAGGACAUGCAGCCUUAAACCUGAAUUAACAUUACAUUCUCUACUUCAAAGUGAAGAAAAGGGAAUUUGUAAUUGGUGAUAUUGCUGAAUCUACCUAUAAUUGGGUGAAAUUUGUAUACUGGCCUUACGCUUUUCUUCACAACUAUUGAUUCACCCUUGAAAACUAGAUUGAGACCAUAGACCACAGAAAAUCCCAUUCCAAGUAAAUGAUGUGGAUUUCCAUCAUUAAUUUUCAUGUCAGAAAACUUCAUCCAUUUGUUGUAUUGAUUUGCUAAUGAGAACAAUUCUGUAUUCUCCAGUGAACGUUACCUGUUUUGUACAUUGGCAAAGCUCAUGACCCUGAGUAAUCUGGAGAUGAUAGCUAUUCUCAACAGGAUUUUUUAUAAUUCAUUACAAGUUUGUGCGAAAGAUCCUUUUUUCUGAAGAAUUGCUGUUUUCUGAGCUUUGCCUUCUAAUAAUUAAAAAGUGAAGCUGAAAGAAAAUAUGGAAUAACUUACAGAUCAUCAGUUUUGCAAUUAGAAAAAUACAGCUUCUUUGACAAGCUGUAUUUGUCAACAAGACAAAGCACAUCCAAAAAUGCAUUUUAUGCAGAGAAAGAAGCUCUUGUCUUUUCUUCCUGUCACCUGUGGGAAAACAUUCUGUAGUAGUCUUUGACAUCCUUUAAAAUUAAGUUGUUGCCUUAGCUGAAAUGCCUGUAUAAGAAGAAAAGAGAUCUUUUAGGUAGUGAGUUAUGAGCUUUCUUUUGUUACAGAGAGGAUUGUGCAAAAUCUGGCAAAUGUUGAGAUUUGUGUAAGUUGUUUUUUGAAGAAAAUACAUGUUUUAAACCAACACAGUAAACCUCUUUUUGACUGCAUUUGACCUUUCUGUAAAGCAAUUGCUAUAAUGUUAACAGCAUUCAGGGAAUAGUAAAGAUUAUCAGCGGGGGGCUUUUCUGAUUUCACUGAUGGCUUGUUAUUGUUUCUCAGUGCCUGAAGAAGAAAGGACACUACAGUUUGUCAUGUUUCCAUUUCCGGAUCUUCAAGUGAAGAGAAAUGCACUCAAAGCUUUGAUUUCAUGAUAUCCAGGAAAAAUGGAAAACUCAUUGUGACCUUACUUAUUCUUUAUGACUUCAGCUUACAAAAUAAUAAAGUUCUAUCUCUGUCUUGCUUGGAACAUUUUAAGCCACUUCUUAUGCAUGGUCUAGACAGCACCUGUUUUCAAGCAGCACUCUUGCAUGCGGAGAAUAUGUGUUUACUACUUGAUCUGCUCAGGUGCUCUGCAUUUUACCUCCUCUCUCCUUUCUACAGCUAAAGAAUAUACUUGGGAAUAAGUAUGUUGCUUACAAGCCACAGGGUGUGCACUGUAUUCUUGGUGGAAUACCUGCCAUGCACUUGAUCCCUUUGGGAUCUCCCUUGGCCCUUAUUCUGCUCCACAAAGAGAAGAUAAUCCACCUUGUAACUGGGUAUAGGAAAAAAGCUUGUUUGAUAAAAUUGUAAAAUCCUAAAAUACUGCAACUGUCAAAAGUCUCUUUUAGAUACAGUAUUUUUCUUCCCCAUAAUUUUCAUAUUUUUGUGGACCUGACAAUGCUGUCAUACAAUUCCCUUUUCAUCUAAGGAAGCACUCUUUUGCUGUGUGGGUGACAGAGCACUGGCACAGGUUACCUGGAUCUCCAUCAUGGAUUUCCUUCUUGGAAAUGUUCAAAAGACGGAUGUGAAAUCCAGACAUGGGCCUGCACACCCUGCUCUAGCUGUCCCUGCUUGAGUAGGGGCUUGGACCAGAUGGAUUCAGAGGUCCCUUCCAGCCUCAACCAGUCUUUAUCUCCUCCUGGAAGCAGGUAUGCGUUCCCUUGCUUUUUCACAUGAGGACAGCCAAAGGAAGAACAAUUGCUCUAAAUACCUGAAAAAAUAAAGCUUAUCCA